rnacentral:misc_RNA from 1 species
UGUAAGGGACAAGUAGGA